rfam:Mus musculus chromosome X, GRC primary reference assembly.
GGAUGUGGGGAUGAUCUGGCUGUGACAUCUGUCAUUCAUUAAUCACCAGGGUUGAUUGGCUGAUCUGUCUGGCUAGGCAGAUGUGCCCUUCCUCCUUCACCACUCCAUGAAGCUUCGUGCUCAGUUGAAGAGGAUAAUCUUUCCUAAAUAGAGGCGGAUCAGUCUUUUAAUCACAGCACACGAGUAGCUUCAUUUUCCUGCUAGAACACCCAAACAAGCUCUUGAGAUAAUGUAUUAUUGGUAAUAUUCACAUCACUUAGAUGUGAAUAACUUUGAUGGAAGGCUGUGAUUCUGU